CCGGGAAUCAAACAUGGGUCUUUGCACUUGUGAGGCAGUCGGCGGAACCACUGAGCUAAAUCCCUGGCCCUGGAGAUGUUACAACUUUUUAAUGAGAACUGAAGACCUUAUUUAUAAGUAGCUGUCCCGGCCCGCGGACAGGGUCUUGGAACUUACUAUGUAGCCCAAGCUGGCCUCUCGAACUCACAGCGAUCCUCCUGGCUUAGCCACUGGAGUGCUAGGAUCACAGGCAUGUGCCACUAUGCCUGGCUUGUAACAACAGUAUUACUAUCACAUUUGAGCAACUUCCAAAAAAGAAAUCGUUUUCCACAGUGGCUACACUAAUCUAUACACCCAUCAACAGUGUGCAAGAGUGAUUUUUCCUCUAUUCACCAGCACUUGUUAUCUACAGUCUCUUUGAUAAUAGCCAUUUUACAAAGUAUGAAGUGAUAUCUUAUUAUGGUUUUAAUUUUCAUGUAUCUGAUGAAUUCUGAUAUUGAACAUUUUUUCAUAUACCUGUUGGCUACUUAUAUGUCUUCUUUUCAGAAAUACCUGUAUAAAUCCUUUCUCCAUUGUUUAGUUGGGCUGUUUCUUACUAUUGUGUUGUUUGAAUUCCUUUUGAAUAUUUUGAUAUUAACCCCUUAUCAGAUGUAUAGUUUGCAAAUAUUUUCUGUGAUUCUGUGGGUUGUAUCUGUACCCUAUUGAUUUAAGAAAUAUUUUUCCUUAAUUUUUUUGGAGGGGAGCAUGAACAAGCUUUUAUUUUGAUAUCAUUUCAUUUGUCUAUUUUUGCUUUUGUUGUCUGUGCUCUGGGGUUCAUAGGCAAAAAAAUCAUCGUCUAGAUCAGUGUCAUGCAACUUUUCUCCUUUGUUUUCUUCUAGUAGUUUUACAGUUAAAUUCUUAAUCUAUUUUGAAUUGAUAUUUGUAUAUGGUGUGAGAUAAGAUCUAAUUUUUUUCUCUGCAUAUAGUUAUCCAGUUGCCCCAACACCAUUUAUUGAAGAUAUUGCCCUUUUCAUAUCAUGUGUUCUUAGUUCCUGUGACAAAGAUUGAUUGUAAAUCUGAAGAUUUACUUCUGG
rnacentral:lncRNA from 1 species